rnacentral:tRNA from 1 species
ACCUUCGUGGUGUAGCGGUCAGCACGCUCGACGCGUAACCGAGAGGUCCAUGGUUCGAUUCCCGGCGAAGGCG